GAUGAAGAACGUAGUGAAAUGCGAUAAGUAAUGUGAAUUGCAGAAUUCCGUGAAUCAUCGAAUCUUUGAACGCACAUUGCGCCCCCUGGUAUUCCGGGGGGCAUGCCUGUCCGAGCGUCAUUGCAACCUUCAAGCGCGGCUUGUGUGUUGGGUCUCGUCCCCCGUGGCCGGGCCCGAAAGGCAGUGGCGGCGUCCCGACAUGGUGCCCGAGCGUAUGGGAAUCCUCUUCCGCUCGAAUCGGCCCAUGCGGCGCUGGUCGUAACCAAAUUUUUUACCGGUUGACCUCGGAUCAGGUAGGGAUACCCGCUGAACUUAAGCAUAUCAAUAAGCGGAGGA
rnacentral:misc_RNA from 1 species